rnacentral:rRNA from 1 species
CCUACGGGUGGCAGCAGUGAGGAAUAUUGGUCAAUGGUCGCGAGACUGAACCAGCCAAGUAGCGUGAAGGAUGACUGCCCUACGGGUUGUAAACUUCUUUUAUAAAGGAAUAAAGUGCGGCACGUGUGCCUUUUUGUAUGUACUUUAUGAAUAAGGAUCGGCUAACUCCGUGCCAGCAGCCGCGGUAAUACGGAGGGUGCGAGCGUUAAUCGGAAUUAUUGGGUGUAAAGGGUUCGUAGGCGGUCUGUUAAGUCAAGGGUGAAAUCCCGGGGCGCAACGUGGGAACUGCCGUUGAAACUGGCAAACGUGAGUUGGCGAGAGGUAAGCGGAAUUCGAGGUGUAGCGGUGAAAUGCGUAGAUAUCGGGAAGAACACCGAUGGCGAAGGCGGCAAGCGGGCACAUAACUGACGCUGAGGAGCGAAAGCGUGGGUAUCGAACAGGAUUAGAUACCCUGGUAGUC